rnacentral:lncRNA from 1 species
AAAUACACUAACAAUUCCGCAUGAAAUACACAAAAGGAAUUACACUGUAAAUACUGCUUAAAUAACAGUACGAAUUCCACUGAGGAAGUACUAAAAUUACACUAACAGAUACACUGAUGAAUUACAGAGUAAAUUCCACUUUAAAAUGCAUUGUAAUCCACUAAGAAUUACAGUGUAAAAUAACCUAAAAGUACACCGAAAUUGAACUAAGAUUUACAGUGUAAAUCAUAUCAAAGCUGCAAUAUCGACAAAGAACUACACCGUAAAACCAACCAAAAUUACAUUGUAAACUUAGAGAAGAAUUACAGUGUAAGUCCAGAUAGGAACUACAGUGCAAAUCCACUUAUAAAAACACUGUAAAACCAGUAAUAAAUACACUGUAAUUUUAUCAGCUUUACAGUGUAAAAUUCACUAAACAAAGUUAACUACACUGACAAAAUGCACUGGUACAAGUACAACCACAUAUAGGAGGACGAACAUGGAGAAGCGCCACCAGUGAGGGCGAUUCCUCCAAGAUCUGGGAGACAAACAUCAACAACAUGGCUGGAGAAGUAGGAAAAACACAAGGAAAACAUCCCUCUCCCCCCUCCUAUGCAUUCAUCACCUCCUAUCGUCUCUCUCCUGCCUGAAGAAAUCUGGAAGAAAGAACAGAUGGAAAAGAGAACAUAAGCACACAAAAGAAGGAACCAGCACAAAUACUAGGAACAACUAGGAUAUGGUCACAUGUACAACUAGUCUAUAAUCACAAGACCACUAUAUACUAAAAACUAGAUGCCCAGGUCAUAGGUUUCUGAAUUUGCAAAAAAGAACAUACUACAAGGGACAAAAACCCGCUCAAGAUCACUAGGCUAGGAAUUCCAUUUUGGGGACAAAAACACACUACUAGGCUAGCAAUUCCAUUUAGGUAAAACUAGUUGAAAAUAUACAAGGUUGAGGAUUACUGCAGUUGAGAGAAUAUAUGACUAUUUCCACAAACUAUGGAAACUAAAAAACUAAACACUCUUAAGAAACUUUGAUCUAACAGUUUGGACACUUCCUCCCUGUUCAUAAAUAGUUGUGAUUGAAUGACUGGAUAUAAGUAACUUUGGAAGUGUAAACUGCUAUGAACUGAUACUUGUUAACACUGAAUAUUGAUUAGUAUUAAGAUAAACACUGAAAAUAGAAAUUAACAGAAAAAUGAGUAACCCGAUCAGGCUAAAAGCACUGACACUAGAAGGCACUUACGCUAGUAGCAAGAAACAAAAAGAAUCUAUAAAAGUGAUAAUAAAUAGCAGUUUCUUCAGGUCACACAAGUAUAUGUCAGAUGAAGAAAAAUGCUCAAUCUAGAAUGAACAUGGCAUAAAAAUACGACAAAUACAACAACACACUUACGUGGGACACAUAGAAAUCAUAUAAGCUUUUUCACACUCAGGGUUAUCCAUUUCACCAUCCUGCAUAAAUACAAGAGAACAUAAAGAGAAUAAACUACUGGGACCAAAUAAGCUAAGCCACAAAAACAAUAUACAAAAGGGAAAAAAGAGAACACAAGAAAAAAAGAGAAGGACCUCGGAAACUUGGAAAGAAUCGUCCUCAGCAAAAUCAUUGGGCACAAAAGGAUCACCAUCUGAAUCACCUUGCUCUUCGGAACAAGCAGAAUGAAUACCCUUACCAAAACACUUCCCGAGUCUACCCAUAGAUUAAACAAUUCCCUAAUAUAUAAAUCACAUAGAAUAAAAAAAUACUGAGAAAUAUGGCAUAAAGGAUAAACAUUAUACAAAAAAUACAAAACGAAAAUGCUUACUACAUACCCAUUACCAGAUACAUAAAUGGGUUAGGCAAAGACAAUAUAACAAAAAGAACACAUGAACUAAAUCAAAAAAUACAAAUACUUCCAUAAAAGUGUAAUGUGCUAAAAUGCUCCCUCCGUAAUCUAAUAUAAGAGCGUUUAGAUCACUACUUGAGUGAUCUAAACGCUCUUAUAUUUCUUUACCGGGGGAGUAUAAAAUAGCUAAUUACAAGGGUAUAAAAUUAAUCACAUCAACUGAGCUAAAAGGGGGUAAAAUGAACAGUACAAGAAAUAUUCCAAUCAAUACAUCAUCACUGGAUUACACACAAAUAAGAUGACCCGACAAAAUAAAUUACACAAAUAAAACUGGGAAAAAAGAACUAACCAGACAUUAUCAUGCAACUAUCCAUAAAACACCCUGCAAAAAUACCAAAAACUAAGAUUAGCAUCAAGCAUGACAACAACAGAAACCUAAGAAAAGAUUUAAAAUGAACUAAAAGCAAUCAACAGUUGCAAGAGAAGUCCUACACUUACAAUGCAACCCAAUAUGAUAACCAGUGUAAAAAUCACUGAUAAAAUAAGUAAAUACAGUACAAUGCACAAAGAUUUACAUAGUAAAAAAAUUAAGAAUUACAGUGUGAAUCCACUGAGAAUUACACUGUAAAAUUCAAAAUAAAGAAUUACAGUGUAAAUCCAUUGAGAGUUACACUGUAAAAUCCACUAACAUACAUUGGCAAAUGCACCAAAAAUUACAAUGCAAAACCAUUGAGGAAUUACACUGUAAAAUCAACUAAAGUAUUACAUUACAAGAGCACUACGAAUUACAGUGAAGAUUCACUAAAAAAUAGAAUUACAGUGAAAAAAAUGUAAAUCCAAUUAGAAUUACAGUGUAUCGACUAAGAAAGUUCACUGUAAUUCCACUAAGGAUUACUGUAUAAAUCCACUGAGAAUUACAGUGUAGAUCCGCUGAGAAUUUACACUGUAAUUCCACUAAGGAUUACACUGUAAGAAAUCAAUAAAAUACACUAAGAAUUACAUUGUAAAUCCAAUUAGAGUUACAGUGUAAAAUCCAGUAACAAAAUGUAAUUCUUGAAAUUUCUGAAUUGGAAUUCAGGAAUGUACAUGCACAGAUUGAAUGGAAUUUCCUGAAACCAAAAUGACUUGGCAUGAGACUAACUGAAUGAAAUUGAACGGAGCAGCAUAUAUACACAUUUACAAAACUACUUCAUUGUAAACAAUGAAAAUGGACUGAAAUUAAAGUGUAUUAUAUACUUUAGUUGUCAGGGUGGUGGUUGUGAUUAUUAGUAGUAGCCUGGCAGUGGCAGUGGCAGUAGACUAGUUUGGUUGGUAGGUAGUUGAGGGCGAGGAAACAAAUGAGGAUCCCAUCCAUCCAUCCGUACAAGCAAAGCAAGGGUUCUGAACUAAAAGAAACAUCAUCACAUCCGACAGCGACAUGGACAUGGAUGAAAUUAGGAUCCCCGCAUGUCCAGGCGCAUGACAACUAGCUGAAUUCAACCAGACAAUGUAGCUCACAUGAUAGACGAGAUUCAACACAGCAACGGGAAAUUACCACACACAACGGACGAAAGGGGAAUAGAUCUGACCGUGAAAUCCUACACACAGCUAACAACAACCCCUAGCGAAUGGGGGAUAGAUCAGGUCAUAAUCGACGAACAUACAUCACAGGACUGCCGGCGGGGGAAAUGGAGGCCGGGGUUGGGUACGGUGGCCGAGAUAUGCUGCCCCUCCGACGCGGACAUCAGAGAAGCCGGAGGGGCUUGGGCGGUCGGAGGGAGAGCGCUGGACGCCGGGGCACCCUAGCGAAUCGAGGGACAGGGGAGCUCCAAAUCUCCAUGGAUCUCUCUCUCUCCUCUGUUUUUUUUGAAAGCAACAUGGCUUUAUUACUCAACGUGCGGGCAAAUCACCCAACACACAGGCGCCCACUUGGCCUGGUACAUCCGUAUCCCACUGCAUACAGUGGGCUGAUUCACAUAAACGACCAAGACUAGCAAGUUCAUGAGCGACAGAGUUCGCGCUACAACGACAAACAAAGAUGUUAAAAUGAGAAAACCAAAGCUUUAACUGGUAUUUCAUGUCUUCAAUCACCACUGUGUAGGCCGAAGAAUCCACCCUACGCAGGUCCAACGCCUCCUCCAGUAGUUGCGAGUCAGUCUCAAACUCCACACGAAUCAUACCAAGUUCUGCUGCCAAGUUGAUCGCAUGUGACAUAGCUGCAGCUUCAGCAGCGAAAGCAUCACAUAUGUUGUCAGUCCAUCCCGCCCGAGCACAGAUCAAGUUUCCUUGUUUUGUUCUUGCCGCAACUCCCCAGCCUGCAUGGUUCUGCCCGGGCAUAAAAGAACCAUCGACAUUAAUCUUGUAUUCCAUGUCACUUGGCGGUCGCCACCUCUCCGGGUUGUUCUUGACAGGGGGAUUUAGAAAGAUGUGCACAUACUCAAUCACAUUGCUUCUUGUUCGCCUCGCUACUUUUGAUGGCGCUAGAGGCAUCUCACCCUCUCUAAGCUUAUUCCUGUUUGACCACCAAAGCCACCAGAAAGUGAGUACGUGGAGCCUCUUUUUCUCAUCUAGACCCCAUACUCUAUCAUCGCAUGCACAGACGUGAUUACUUCCAGCUCCAUGCGCUCUUUCUCCAAGCCUAAGUCCCUCCACACUUCCUUUAUUGUCUUGCAUUUGAUGAAGAGAUGCGCCCCGUCCUCGUCAGCCCUUCCGCAGAAAAGACAUUUUGUAUCCGCAAUACAGAUCCCUUUGCGAGCUACAUUAGUGCGGAGAGCUAGGGAGUCGUGCUUCAGCCUCCACGCGAACAUCUGAAUGUUUUUUGGGCACGGUAAUCUCCACAGGCGCUUCCAUGAAUCAUCCUUAACCGAGUUCAGAUUACUAGGAUUUUCCUCGCUGCCACCCACACCGGCAUUAUGCAUAUGAAGCUCAAGCUGACGCUGAAGCUUGUAAGCGCUUUUAACGGAGUGGGUGCCUUUGGAAUCAUAAUGCCAUGCAAUGAAAUCCCGAACUCCCUCCCGUAGCGGAAUUUGGAGAAUAUGUUUGAUGUCAUCCGCCCAGAAGGUGUCUCUCACCAAUUGCUCGUCCCACUGACCAGAUAACGGAUCGAUGAGAUCAGAUACACGCUGUAGGAGGUUCUGUCCCUUGGGUGUCAGGACACGCCGUAACCAGGGCCGUGGAAUCCAGGGAUGGGACCAAAUAUUCACUUGGGUGCCAUCUCCAAUUCUCCAAAUGUACCCCUCCCUGAAAAGAUGAAGACCAUGUAGGAGGCUGCACCAUGAAUAGGAGAUGCCGUCCCUAGGAGCCGCUUCAAGAAUCUGUCCGUUGGGGAAAUAACGCGCUUUCAGCGUUUGGGCACAGAGGGAUUCAGGAUGCUGAAUCAGUCGCCAAAUCUGCCUGGAUAGAAGAGCCAAGUUGAAGUCAUGCAUGUCACGGAACCCUAAACCCCCUUGUGCUUUGGGCUUAAUGAGAGUUUUCCAUCCGAUCCAGUGGGUGCAAUGGGAUUUAUCUUGUUGGCUCCACCAAUAGUCUCCUACCAAUGAACUUAGUUCAUCACAGAAGGACUUUGUUAGGUAAAAGCAAGACAUUGCAAAUGUAGGGAUGGCCUGAGCGACUGUUGUGACCAAAGUUUCCUUGCCCGCCUUCGCUAUGAGCCUUUCCUUCCAUCCAUAAACUCUCCCAGCCAUUGCGCCUUUGACAAAAGCAAAGGCCUUCCUCCUAGAUUUGCCCACAUGAACAGGCAACCCCAAGUACUUUUCGUUCCAAGUCUCGCUCUGGAUUUGUAGAGCGUCCUUGACACUCGUUUUUACCGUAUCACUUGUAUUGGGACUAAACAUGACUGCAGACUUCUCCAGAUUGAUACAUUGCCCCGAGCACUCCUCAUAAAGGUCCAGUAUCCUACGCAGCUCUUGUGCCUCUGUUUGUUGCGCUUUCAACAGAAGGACAGAAUCAUCGGCGAAGAGUAGGUGCGACACCACCGGUGCCUGAGGACAAAUCCUAACACCAGUGAUUGUACCGGUCUCCUCCGCAUCGUGUAACAGUGCUGACAAACCCUCUGCACAAAUGAUAAAAAGAUACGGCGAGGCAGGGUCCUCUUGCCUGAGUCCUCGGGAGGGCGAGAACUGCUCAGAUAAAACACCGUUAACCUUGAUCUGGUACCGAACCGAGCUAACACAGUGCAUGACUAAGUCGAUCCAGCGAGUACCGAAGCCCAGCUUUGUCAGCAUCUCUCUCAGGAAUCCCCACUCGACCCUGUCGUAAGCUUUGCUCAUGUCCGCUUUCACCGCUGCGAUGCCCUCCUUGCCUCUCUUCUUGUUCAGUAGGUAGUGUGACACCUCAUAAGCCACUAACACAUUGUCGGUAAUCAUACGACCAGGAACAAAAGCACUUUGAUUCAGAGAAAUGAUGUCAGGAAGCACAAUUUUGAGUCGGUUGGCGAUAACCUUCGAGACUAAUUUGUAGACCACGUUGCAAAGGCUUAUCGGGCGAAGAUCCUUGAUCCUAUGGGUAUUCUUGACCUUCGGAAUGAGAACCACGACCGUGUCAUUCCACCCGGUCGGCAUAGCUCCACCAUUUAUCACCGCAAGAACCUCAUCCACCACUUUGUCCCCCAUAAAAUGCCAAUGUUUCUUAUAAACGAUCGAGGGCAUCCCAUCAGGGCCCGGGGCCUUCAAAUCACCAAUGUGGUCUAACGCCGCCUUAACUUCCUCCCUAGUGACAUCCGCUUCCAGAAUUGCUCGCAUUGCAGGAGUCACACGGGGUUUAACCUUGUCAAUGAGUUCCGGCAGGUGAUUAGCCCCCGUAGAAGUAAACAGGUCCUGAAAAUAAGAGUAAACAUAAUUAGUUAACUCCUCCCCUUCCUUCACCUCAGAUCCAUCCUCCCUUCUCAGCUUCUUAAUCCGGUUGGCUUUCUUCUUCGCAGAUGCAACGGCCAUAAAAUAUUUUGUGCUUUUAUUGCCAUCCCGGAGCCAUGUAACAUGAGAAUGUUGCUUCGCUUUGGUGUUCUUCUUUAUCUCCAACUCCUCUACAAGACACCUCAGACGCGCUUCCUCCCUGACUUUUGCUUCUGAAACAGGCACCCGCAUGCAUGCCUCCAGCUCCCUCCGGGCUCUCCUUAGUCUCCCCUCUAAUUCUCCCACCACCUCCCUACUCCACCUUUUCAUCCUCCCAGCCACAUUGAUCAUCACAGAAGCAACAUCAUCCCUCUCCUUCAGGCAGCCUUCCUCCCACGCUCCUUGGAUCUCAGCACCACACCCCUCUUCCUGCAACCACCAUGCCUCGAAUCUGAACCCCCGAUCGCCUCCGCUCGCCAUACUGGGCACACCUUGUGUGUUAACGAUUAUCGGUUUGUGGUCUGAGUGGCGAGGAGCUCCGUUGAUCACACUGAAUUCCGGGAACCAUUCGCACCAUUUUGCAUUGGCCGUGGCUCUGUCCAGGCGUUCACAAAUGUACGUAUCCACCUCCUUGCUGUGAUUUCUCCAAGUGUAUUUGUCUCCUUCAUAUCCAAUGUCGCAUAAAUCACACGCCUCCAAAGCUGCCAGAAAGUUGUCCAUAAACCUUUGAGGGCGGACAUCACCCCCCAUCUUUUCGUCCCCUGUUAGGAUCUCAUUAUAGUCUCCAAGGCAUAACCAAGGAUGACCAUUUUGGUGCUGUUGCCCAAGGAUGCGCAUCAUCUUCCAAGUCUCCACCUUGCGCUCCAGCUCAGAUUCACCGUACACCCCCGUCAGUCUCCAAAUCCUCCCAUCCUCCUCCGUUACAUCCACAUCCACAUGUCGCCUCCCAUACGAUCUUAACGAGAUACUUAAUCCUCUCCUCCAAAAAAGCGCUACACCUCUACUUCGACCCACAGCAUUCCAAACCACCAUAUUUGCUAACCCCAACGACCAUCGAAACUUUUCAAGAUCCUUCUCUGUUAAUUUCGUCUCCGCCAAAAACAACACGUCAGGCUCCUCCGUCCUCCCUAGCUCAAGGAGGCUACGAACUGCCAGGCCGUUCCCGAGGCCCCGGCAGUUCCAACCGAUCAGUUUCAUUGAUCCCGGCGGGGCUGCUCCGGCAGCCCGACCGAUAUCUUAUCAUUGACGUUUCCACCUUGUGCAUGGGACACUGGCACAUCCUCUCCUACCUUCUCUUCCAACUUACCCUUCUUUCCCAACUUCUCCACUUCAUCUUCUUCUUUAGUCCUCCCCCUCUUCCCUCCCACACCCGUGGCCUCCACAUGUUCACUUGCCUCCAUGGUCCUCUCCCUCCCUUUCUUUCUGUACUUCCUCCCUCCUGCGCCCUUAUCUUUUUCUCCACUGCCACCUGAUGCAACCCUCCUUUCUACCUUGUUCGUUGGGACCAUGGUUUCUGUGUGUGCCUUGUUUGGUACCGCAUUGACCACUCCAUCCUGGCCAACAGGGAUAAUCUGCAGAUGCUGUUCCGCACUUACACCCAGUUCCAGCUUCUUCGGUUUGCCCUGGCCUCUAUGUUUAUUAUCAUUUUUGACAGGCCUAGUGAUCUCCUCCUCCUUCCCUGUCCUACCUGAGCCACCACCGCUGGAAUCACUCUUCCUCCAUGAUAGACUCUCGUUUCCACUCCCUGAUCUCCCUUCUGAUCGGCCAAAACCAAAACUGCGUGUCCCACUUGAACUUCUGCCUCCAGACCUCCAUGCUUUCUCCUCCCCCCACCCUCUGCGUUGACCUAAGUCCGCCCGUAGCCAUCUUCCAAACUGUGGACUUUCUCCCUUCACAGCUUUCUUAUCGCAGUCUUUCUCCACAUGGCCGAUGAUCCCGCAUGAGUAGCAGAAAUCAGGAAGAAAUUCAUAUUCCAGCCUACACCAAUCUCUAUCCUCUUCCUCUUCCCCACUCUCCAUCGCAGCCCCCCCUUUUGUAACGCCCUCGAUGCGGCUAUAUCUCCUACGUGUCAAGGCACGACUUAGAGGCAUAACCACAUUGAAAGCAAUGUCGCAAGUUAGGCAAUCUUCAAAACAUCCCAUGUAAUAUAUAGAUAAUAAAAGGGGAGAAUACAUAGUUGGCUUACACUCGCCACGUCAAUCAAAGUACAUAAAUAGCAUUACAUCAACCAAACACUCAUGGCCUGACUACGGCGCCCAAAUAAAAGACCAACCCAACAUGCGACACGGUCUAGAUCGCCCCAACUAGGCACCACUACUGAUCAUCAGGGAAAGACACAUAGUAACGGCGUGAGUCCUCGUCGGACUCCCACUUGAGCUCAAGCACAUCAUCUGGAACGGAGUCAUCAGGCCUUGCAUCUGGUUUGGAAGUAAUCUGUGAGCCACAGGGACUCAACAAUCUCGCACCCUCGCGAUCAAGACUAUUUAAGCUUAUAGGUAAGGCAAGGUAAAUAUGUGGAGCUGCAGCAAGCGACUAGCAUAUAUGGUGGCUAACCUGUUCGCAAAAGAGAGCGCGAAGAGAAGGCAAAGCGCGAACGAAUAACUAGAGAAUAACCUGCGGCAAGCAUUACUCCAACACCGUGUUCACUUCCCGGACUCCGCCGAGAAGAGUCCAUCAUAGUAACCCACACAGUUGAUUCAUUUUAAUUAAGUUAAGGUUCAAGUUAUCUACAACCGGACAUUAACAAAUUCCCAUCUGCCCAUAACCGCGGGCACGGCUUUCGAAAGUUCAAAACCCUGCAGGGGAGUCCCAACUUAGCCCAUGACAAGCUCUCACGGUCAACGAAGGAAUAGACCUUCUCCCGAGACAUUCCGAUCAGACUCGGUAUCCCGGUUCUAUAAGACACUUCGACAAGUUAAAACAAAUCCAGCAAUACCACCCGAAUGUGCCGACAAAUCCCGAUAGGAGCUGCACAUAUCUCGUUCUCAGGGCACACUCAGAUAAGCUCUCCAUACAAUUAAAACCAAACCUCGAGUUUCCCCGAGGGGGCACUGCACAGGACUCUAGUUCGGACCAACACUCAGAGAAGCACUGGCCCGGGGGGGGGGGUUAAAUAAGAUGACCCUCGGGCUCCGAAAACCCAAGGGAAAAAGAGGCUAGGUGGCAAAUGGUAAAACUAAGGUUGGGCAUUGCUGGAAAAGCUUUAAUCAAGGCGAACUAUCAAGGGGUUCCCAUUAUCACCCAACCGCGUAAGGAAUGCAAAUUUCGGGAACAUAAUACCGAUAUGACGGAAACUAGGGCGGCAAGAGUGGAACAAAACACUAGGCGAGAGGCCGAGCCUUCCACCCUUUACCAAGUAUAUAGAUGCAUUAAGAUAACAAGGCAAUAUAAUGAUAUCCCAACAAGUAAAUAAUGUUCCAACAAGGAACGGUCUCCAAUCUUCACCUGCAACUAGCAACGCUAUAAGAGGGGCUGAGCAAAGCGGUAACAUAGCCAAUCAACGGUUUGCUAGGACAUGGUGGGUUAGAGGUUUGACAUGGCAAUUUGGGAGGCAUGAUAAGCAAGUGGUAGGCAUUGUAGCAUAGGCAUAGCAAAAGAGCGAGCAUCUAGCAAAGCAAAGAUAGUAGUGAUUUCGAGGGUAUGAUCAUCUUGCCUGCACAGUUGUCAGAGUUGACUGGAUCCUCGAAAUCAAACUCAACGGGCUCCUCGUUAGCAAACUCGUCUCCCGGCUCUACCCAAACAAGACAAACAAGCAAACGGAACAAAAUCAACCACGUGCAAACUCAAACAACAUGAUGCAAACAUAAUAUGCUAUGCGGGAUGCGACAUGUGAUGCAUAUGCAAGAUUUGACAAGGAAUGAAUGAACCUGGCCUCAACUUGGAAUUCCAAGUGUGCCACUGGAAAGGUAAGAUGAAAUCGCUUGAAAACGAUAUAAAGAAUGCCGAAAUCGGAGUCACGGUUUGGAAAUGGCAAGCAAUUCAAAUAUGGCACCGGUCUGCGAUAUACAGCAAGUAGACACCUAAAUGCAACAAGAUGAACAUGCUACAACACCCAAACAUGACAACAAAAUACACGGCAGGGAUCCAUUCAUGAUGCUUAACAAAAGAUGAACACUGAGCUAUGGCCAAUUCAUCCAUUAAUAGGUUCAAACAAGCAUGGCAAAAAUGCAUUUGAUAAACAGAUUUCAGACUUAGUGAAAUUAACACUUGUCUGGAAUUUCAGAUCAGGUAGCACACUUUGGACCAUGAAAACUAUAUGCUACAGGACCUGAACAUGAAAAGUAAAGCAUGGCAUGGAGCUACUCAACGAACUUAACAAAAGUCCCUUAGUGACCUUGAGCCAAAAGGGAUCCUAAAAUACAUUUGCAAGCAUGUGAACAUGGCAAAAACAUAAUCAGAUCAUAGACUUAGUGAAAAACUGGAGCAUGCAAAUCAGAUAUCAAGUAGGCAUGUUUAUGAGCUCGAUGCACUCACUACAGAGCAAGUCAUGACAAUCUAAGCAUACACCCAUCAAGAAUACACAUUAUACAAGCUAGACAUGGCAAGAACAAUAACAUAGCAUGCACGGAUCAACUACAACAUCCUCGGCAAAAUCGCUAACAAGUAGACAAUCUGCCCAGAUUCACGAAAUAGCAAAAGUAGAGCUCGAUUGACUCAAGCUAGGGUGCUCCAUAAUUGCAAACAGAGACAUGGAUGGAUAGAGCACUACAAGAUUAACAAAUCACCCUUACCGAUCAUCCUCAAAAGAGGCACGGAUCACUAGAAAACAAUAUGAACAUGUGGCAUAAUGAAAUAAACAGAUCAAGGACUUAGUGGGAUUGCUAAGUCCCUGAAAUCAGCAUUAACGAAUGCACCACUUUGCAAGCUUGUGCUAGUCACCACACACAUCACAAAAAUACAUGGGUUGCACCUCUGGAUAGAUGGCAAAGCAUAUAACAAAACACAUGUAGAGCUCAGGGGCAUAUCAUGCACACAAUAAUCAUGGCAAAAAUGACAAAUAUCUAAUUGGAGCAGCAGAUCUGACAAUUAUCUCAAAUAGCAUUCUUCCAACAGCAUUUAGGGCAUCAAGAUGAACUCAAAUGAAAAUAAUGCAAUGAUAUGAAAUGAUGUGCUCUCUGAGACGAACAUUUUGAUAUGCUAUAUGCCCAAAACGGAGCUACGGAUGCGGAGUUACGGCACGACAAACAUAGCAAAAUAAUUAGGGUUUAGGGGCAAAAAGUCAACCGAGAAAACUCAGAUCUGAGAUUUGCACACUUCCCGAGGUUCGUCCUCAAGCUCGCCGGAGAUGGAGCUUGAGCUCGUCGGAGAGAGGCCGGCGGGGGAGGAGGAAGCGCGGGGCGGCGCCGGAGUUGGAGUAGAACGACGGCGGGGCGCGGCUCCGCGACGAGCCGGCAUGGAGGCGCGGCGUGGAGGGCCACCGGCGGGCGGCGAGGUGGGGUGGCGCGGCAGAGCGGCGGCCGCCGGCGAGGAGGCGCGGUGGCGCCGGGUGGAGGAGCCUACCGGCUCNNNNNNNNNNNNNNNNNNNNNNNNNNNNNNNNNNNNNNNNNNNNNNNNNNNNNNNNNNNNNNNNNNNNNNNNNNNNNNNNNNNNNNNNNNNNNNNNNNNNNNNNNNNNNNNNNNNNNNNNNNNNNNNNNNNNNNNNNNNNNNNNNNNNNNNNNNNNNNNNNNNNNNNNNNNNNNNNNNNNNNNNNNNNNNNNNNNNNNNNNNNNNNNNNNNNNNNNNNNNNNNNNNNNNNNNNNNNNNNNNNNNNNNNNNNNNNNNNNNNNNNNNNNNNNNNNNNNNNNNNNNNNNNNNNNNNNNNNNNNNNNNNNNNNNNNNNNNNNNNNNNNNNNNCUACCGGCUCGGGCGGGGAAGAGGCAGGCUCGGGCGGCGCGGAGGGAACGGGCUCGGGGGCCCGCGGCGGGCCGAGCAGGCCGGCGGCGGGGGAUCUCCCGGCGCGACACGUGGUGCGCUGUCACUGGCCGGGCGCGGCGGCGGGAAACGUCCGGCCAGGGACAUACAUGUCCGGCGCGGCGCGAUGCGAUUUUUAGGGUUUCGGGGGGAAGAAGAAACGUGGAUCUUGGAGGGGGUCUUUAAAUAGGCAUAGAGGAAGCUAAGAGAGUCCAAAUGAGGUGCUGUUUUCGGCCACACGAUCGUGAUCGAACGCUGUAGAUGAUGGAGAGGGUUUUGGUGGGUUUUGGGCCAAAUUGGAGGGGUGUUGGGAUGCAACACACACAGGGCCUUUUCGGUCCCUCGGUUAACCGUUGGAGCAUCAAACGAAGUCCAAAUGGUACGAAACUUGACUGGCGGUCUACCGGUAGUAAACCAAGGCCGCUUGGCAAAUCUCGGUCCAAUCUGGAAAUGUUUUACCCCCACACACAAAAGAAAGGUAGAAAUGACCACCGAAGGAGAACGGAGCGCCGGAAUGCAAAACGGACAACGGGGAAAAUGCUCGGAUGCAUGAGAUGAACACAUAUGCAAAUGCAAUGCACAUGAUGACAUGCUAUGAGAUGCAUGACAACGAUAACACACACGGAGACAAAACCCGAACCCGAGAAAAUAAAAUAACUUAAUGCCGGAAACGGCAAGAGUUGGAUUACAUAUUGGGUAAAUCAUAUCCGGGGUGUUACAACACUCCACCACUACGAAAGGAUCUCGUCCCGAGAUCUAGGACUGAAAGAACGCCGGGUACUCAGAACGGAGGUGAUCCUCAUGUUCCCAGGUGGCUUCCCGGUCGGAAUGGUGUGACCACUUGACUUUGAGGAAUUUGAUUGACUUGUUGCGAGUCUUGCGUUCAGUCUCUUCAAGAAUAGCAACGGGGUGCUCACGAUAAGAGAGAUCUUCUUGGAGCUCAAUGUCUUCGAAGUUGACGGUGCGGUCAGGAGUCUUGAAGCACUUUUGGAGCUGAGAGACAUGGAACACGUCAUGCACAUUUGCAAAGUUUGAAGGAAGCUCGAGUUGAUAGGCGAGAUCACCUCUCUUGCUGACGAUCUUGAAAGGUCCCACGUAUCUGGGGGCAAGCUUCCCUUUGAUACCGAAGUGACGAGUACCUUUCAUUGGAGAGACGUGGAGGUAAACAUGAUCUCCGAUCUCGAAAGCCAAAUCAUGGUGCUUACUAUCAUAGUAGCUCUUCUGGCGGGAUUGGGCUGCUUUGAGGUUAUCUCGAAUGACUUUGCACAUUUCCUCUGCCUCUGUGAUUAAGUCAUUUCCCAAAAGUUGACGUUCACCGGUUUCAGACCAGUUGAGAGGGGUACGGCACUUCCUACCAUACAGAAUUUCAAAUGGGGCCUUGCCCGAACUUGCUUGAAAACUGUUGUUGUAGGAGAAUUCAGCAUAAGGAAGGCAAUCCUCCCACUUCAUGCCGAAGGAGAUCACACAAGCCAUGAGCAUAUCUUCAAGAAUCUGGUUGACACGCUCGACUUGACCGCUAGUUUGAGGAUGGAAAGCUGUGCUGAAGCGGAUGUUGGUGCCCAUGGCCUUCUGAAAAGAAUCCCAAAACUUGGAGGUAAAGAUGCUGCCACCGUCUGAAGAGAUCACUUGUGGAAUACCGUGCAGAGAGACAAUUCGAGAGGUAUAGAGUUCCGCCAAUUGAGCUGCAGUGAUUGACUCUUUGAUAGGCAGAAAAUGAGCCACUUUAGUGAGUUUGUUGAUUACAACGAAUAUAGCAUCAUUGCCACGCUUGGACUUUGGAAACCCAGUCACGAAGUCCAUCUCAAUGUGGUCAAACUUCCAUUCUGGAAUGGCAAGAGGUUGGAGGAGACCAGCUUGCCUUUGGUGUUCUGCCUUCACUCUUCUGCAGACAUCACAUUCAUUCAUGAACUGAGCAAUCUCGCGCUUCAUUCGAGUCCACCAAUAAGCCUGCUUGAGGUCCUGAUACAUCUUCGUGCUCCCAGGGUGGAUGGAGAGUAGAGAAUUGUGAGCCUCAUUUAUGAUCACUUUACGAAGGUCACCUUUGGGCACAACAAUACGAUCCUCGAGGAAGAGAGUAUCCUUGUCAUCAAGGCGGUAGCACUUGUACUUGGGUUGGCUCUUGGCAAUCCCAAUAUUCACCUUUUUUACCAUAGCAUCAAGAAGCUGAGCUUGGCGAAUCUGGUCUUCCAAGGUAGGAGAGACUUGAAGGUUAGCGAGGAAACCUUGAGGAACAACUUGUAGAUUAAGUUUGCGGAAAGCUUCACAAAGCUUGGGUUGAUAAGGCUUGAGAAUCAGACUGUUGCAAUAAGACUUCCUGCUCAAUGCGUCAACAAUCACAUUGGCCUUGCCUGGAGUAUACUCGAUACUCGGAUUAUACUCUUGAAUCAUUUCGACCCAUCGAGUUUGCCUGAGGUUGAGAUUAGGCUGAGUGAAGAUGUACUUGAGACUCUUGGGGUCAGUGAAAAUGUCCACUUUUCUUCCCAAUAAGAGAUGUCUCCAAGUCAAAAGAGCAUGCACAACUGCCGCCAACUCGAGGUCAUGAGUGGGGUAGUUCUUCUCGUUGGGCUUUAACUGGCGAGAGGUAUAUGCCACAACCUUCUUCUCUUGCAUCAACACUGUGCCGAGACCUUGGAGAGAGGCAUCGCAAAAGACCUCGUACGGUUUGGAUUCAUCAGGAGGAGUCAGAACUGGAGCAGUGACCAAUUUCUCUUUCAAAGUGUUGAAAGCGAUGUCACAUUCCGGAGACCAAACGUACUUGACGUGCUUCUGGAGAAGAUUUGAGAGAGGCUUCGCGAUCUUAGAAAAGUUUUCAACGAAUCUUCGACAGUAGCUUGCGAGACCGAGGAAGCUACGGAGUUGCUUCACGUUCUGAGGUGGUCCCCAAUUCAAAAUUGCAGACACCUUCUCAGGAUUCACCGCAAUGCCCUUGGCAGAGAUAAUAUGACCAAGAUAAAGAACCUCAUCGAGCCAAAAUUCGCACUUGGAGAACUUGGCGUAGAACUGGUGUUCCCUGAGCUUAUCGAGCACCAAACGCAAGUGCUUGGCAUGAUCUUCCUUGUUCUUCGAAAAGACCAAAAUGUCGUCGAGAUAGACCAAAACAAAGUCAUUGGUGUAGGCGUUGAAGAUGAAGUUCAUCAUGCGAGAGAAAGUCAGAGGAGCGUUGACGAGGCCAAAAGACAUGACAGUGUAUUCAUAUGAACCAUAGCUUGUCCUGAAAGCCGUCUUGGGAAUAUCUUGCUCACGGAUUCGAAUCUGAUGAUAACCCAUACGGAGAUCAAGCUUGGAGAAUACUUGGGCACCUUUGAGUUGUUCGAACAGCUCGUUGAUGUUGGGAAGUGGGUAUUUGUUCCUUAUAGUCUUCUUGUUCAAUGGACGGUAAUCAACACAAAGUCGGUCCGUUCCAUCCUUCUUCUUCACAAAAAGAACACCACAACCCCACGGAGAAGAACUAGGUUGGAUGAGACCCAUUCUCUCUUGAAUAUCGAGUUGCUUCUUCAGCUCCUUCAACUCUUCAGAUCCGAGCUUAUAAGGAUGCUUGCACACUGGUUCCGUGCUAGACUCAAGAUCGAUGACAAAUUCAACUGGCCGGUGCGGAGGCAUUCCUGGAAGCUCUUCUAGAAAGACGUCUUGAUAUUUGCAAACGAAUGGAAUUUGCGAGAUGGCAUCCAGUUCACCCUUCUCAUUGAGAGAAAACAGGUGGAUGGUAUCAUCACGAGCAACAAAGACAAUUACAUCCUCAGACGAAUGAGUCAAUUGAAUCUGCCUGGCUGCACAAUCAAGAUGCGCCUUGUGCUUAGAAAGCCAAUCCAUUCUGAGAAUAAGAUCAAUAUCCGAGUCACCAAGGAUAAUAGGAGAAGCUAGAAAUUUGUACUCACCCAACGUGAUAGUAAUAUCCGAGACGCAGAAAUUAGCUGUCAUAUGCUUGCCCGGUGACACGAUUUGCAAAGAAUUUUGUAGAUAGUGAUAAUCGCACUCAUACUUUGAUGCAAAAGGUUUGGAAAUGAAACAAUGCGAUGCACUAGUGUCAAAAAGAACUUUUGCAGGAACAUUGUUAACAGGAAGGUUACCCAUGAUGACAUCUGACGAGUCCUCUGCCUGAGCUGCAUUCAUCAAGUUGACCUUGGCGUGCUUGGGGUUAUGCUUGACCACAACUGUACUUGCCGAUCUCACAGGAGGAGGAGGAGGGAGACGCCUCUGGUUGAAGCACUUGUUGGCAUAGUGACCCUUCUGUUGGCACUUGUUGCACGUGACCUCUGAAAGCGGAUGGUGAUAUGGAGCACUCGAUCUUGGGGCUUGAGACGAAGUCUCGUUCUGAAAGCCAAGGUUGGGUGGGUGGGAAGAUCCACUGCCACCUUUGCUCUUCUGAUACGGCUGACGGAACGGAGGAGGAGGAAGCCAAUACUUCUGCUGCUUGGCCACUUGAGUAGAGGAAGGAGGAGUAGCAUCUCUGACUCGCUUCUUGGAAGCAUCACACCUCAGUUGAAUAGCCUCUUGCUUCAAUGCCAUGUUGUAGAACUCAUCGUACCUCAAGGGCUCAAAGAGAACAAGAGCUAGCUGGAUUUCUUCUCUGAGACCACCCCUGAACUGGUAUAUCAUGCUCUUCUCGUCAGGGACGUCCUGCUUAGCAAAGCGGGCGAGCUUCUGAAACAACUUGUUGUAGUCAUAGACAGACAAAGAGCCUUGCUUCAGGUUGCGGAAUUCCUCACGCUUGCUUUCAACCACGCUUUGAGGAAUAUGAUGAGCUUUGAAGUCUUGACGGAAUUCAUCCCAGGUAAUCACACGGCCUCCUCUGGAAUCUUUGUACUGCUGGAACCAUUCUGCAGCUUGGUCUUUGAGUUGGAAGGAAGCGAACUUGACAAAGUCCUCAGGUCUGACGUUACUGCACUCGAAAUGCUUGCACAAGUCCACAAGCCAAUCGUCAGCAUCAGUUGCCUCAACACAAUUGCUGAAAGACUUUGGCCCGUUAGCAAGGAACUGGUUGAGUGUAGCAAAGUGGUUCUGAUUGUUGCCUUGGUUGCCUUGGUUCGCUUGGUUGCGCUCUUGAAGAAUUUGCAUGAUCAACUGUGUGUUUGCAUUGGUUGCGGCCAUCACAGCUUGCCAUGCCUCCGGAGGAGGUGGAGGUGGUGGCGGAUCCUGAUUCUGAUUCUGAUUUUGAUUGCUGCUCUUAGCGGGAGCCAUACUGAAGAGGGUGACAACCGUUAGCACAUUGACAGAUAAAAUGAAGCUGAAUCAAACGGGUUGAAAUUGCAACAUAUAGUCUUCACAUCCGAACAAAAUGAACGAAUGCAUUCCACUUGGAAUGGUCACAUAUCCAUAAAUUGAGAAGCCACUUAGAAUUUAGAUAGAGGAAUAAAUCAACAAGGUACAGAUCAAGAACGAAUACUCGGUAAGAAAUCCCAAUCUCAAACCAAAUAUCCGUGGAAGAAGAACUAAAGCUACAAGAAUUCCCACCUAUGAAACUCCCGAACCUUUCCGGUUAUGCAAUCAGGUGUUGGGGAUACAGGGGAAGCAUAAUAUCUCACCCAAAACUAGCAAAUCCUACAUCCAGCUGUAUCCAUCCUUCAACACAUAACCGAGAAAAACUUCGGAAACCAUCUACCUCAACCUUCGAAAAGCAUCUGUUAUACAAGUUAUGGCAAUACUCCCGAACUCCCGCCCCAGUACUGGGUGGCGUCGAGGUUAUCUCACCAACGAACUGCAUAAAAGAGAUUUUCGAUGUCGACGUACUAAACUCAGGUAUUCCAGAACUACAAUGAUAAAAUUGUGACGACAACACCUUGGAGCUCAACUCCCCGGGACACUGCCACAACCCCAUAAAGACAGGAGGCACCAAGAACAAUGUUCCCGUCACAAAACCAUCGAAACGAUUCCAAGAUACCCGCGUGAUCCUAAAUUUCUUUUAGUGAAAUUUGAGAAGAGAAGAGUCAAAACUCUAUGUCAGGAUGCCUUACCAGAGCGAUGAGGAGACUGGGGAGUAAAAAGAAUUCCUAAACUCUCCGAUAUAUAAUUCCUAAAUGACUCAAAACAUUUUUCUAGACUCAACAACGGCUGCUAAAACGAUCAAGCAAUGGGGGCUCCUAAGGUUGGGGAAGGCUCUGAUUACCAACUUGUAACGCCCUCGAUGCGGCUAUAUCUCAUACAUGUCGAGGCACGAUUUAGAGGCAUAACCGCAUUGAAAGCAAUGUCGCAAGUUAGGCAAUCUUCACAACAUCCCAUGUAAUAUAUAGAUAAUAAAAGGGGAGAAUACAUAGUUGGCUUACACUCGCCACGUCAAUCAAAGUACAUAAAUAGCAUUACAUCAACCAAACACUCAUGGCCCGACUACGGCGCCCAAAUAAAAGACCAACCCAACAUGCGACACGGUCCAGAUCGCCCCAACUGGGCACCACUACUGAUCAUCAGGGAAAGACACAUAGUAUCGGCGUGAGUCCUCGUCGAACUCCCACUUGAGCUCAAGCGCGUCAUCUGGAACAGAGUCAUCAGGCCCUGCAUCUGGUUUGGAAGUAAUCUGUGAGCCACAGGGACUCAACAAUCUCGCACCCUCGCGAUAAAGACUAUUUAAGCUUAUAGGUAAGGCAAGGUAAAUAUGUGGAGCUGCAGCAAGCGACUAGCAUAUAUGGUGGCUAACCUGUUCGCAAAAGAGAGCGAGAAGAGAAGGCAAAGCACGAACAAAUAACUAGAGAAUAACCUGCGGCAAGCAUUACUCCAACACCGUGUUCACUUCCCGGACUCCGCCGAGAAGAGACCAUCACAGUAACCCACACAGUUGAUUCAUUUUAAUUAAGUUAAGGUUCAAGUUAUCUACAACCGGACAUUAACAAAUUCCCAUCUGCCUAUAACCGCGGGCAUGGCUUUCGAAAGUUCAAAACCCUGCAGGGUAGUCCCAACUUAGCCCAUGACAAGCUCUCACGGUCAACGAAGGAAUAGACCUUCUCCCGAGACAUUCCGAUCAGACUCGGUAUCCCGGUUCUACAAGACACUUCGACAAGUUAAAACAAAUCCAGCAACACCACCCGAAUGUGCCGACAAAUCCCGAUAGGAGUUGCACAUAUCUCGUUCUCAGGGCACACUCAGAUAAGCUCUCCAUACAACUAAAACCAAACCUCGAGUUUCCCCGAUGGGGCACUGCACAGAACUCUAGUUCGGACCAACACUCAGAGGAGCACUGGCCCGGGGGGGGGGGUUAAAUAAGAUGACCCUCGGGCUUCGAAAACCCAAGGGAAAAAGAGGCUAGGUGGCAAAUGGUAAAACCAAGGUUGGGCAUUGCUGGAAAAGCUUUAAUCAAGGCGAACUAUCAAGGGGUUCCCAUUAUCACCCAACCGCGUAAGGAACGCAAAUUCCGGGAACAUAACACCGAUAUGACGGAAACUAGGGCGGCAAGAGUGGAACAAAACACUAGGCGAGAGGCCGAGCCUUCCACCCUUUACCAAGUAUAUAGAUGCAUUAAGAUAACAAGGCAAUAUAAUGAUAUCCCAACAAGUAAAUAAUGUUCCAACAAGGAACGGUCUCCAAUCUUCACCUGCAACUAGCAACGCUAUAAGAGGGGCUGAGCAAAGCGGUAAGAUAGCCAAUCAACGGUUUGCUAGGACAUGGUGGGUUAGAGGUUUGACAUGGCAAUUUGGGAGGCAUGAUAAGCAAGUGGUAGGCAUCGUAGCAUAGGCAUAGCAAAAGAGCGAGCAUCUAGCAAAGCAAAGAUAGUAGUGAUUUCGAGGGUAUGAUCAUCUUGCCUGCACAGUUGUCAGAGUUGACUGGAUCCUCGAAAGCAAACUCAACGGGCUCCUCGUUAGCGAACUCGUCUCCCGGCUCUACCAAAACAAGACAAACAAGCAAACGGAACAAAAUCAACCACGUGCAAACUCAAACAACAUGAUGCAAACAUAGUAUGCUAUGCGGGAUGCGACAUGUGAUGCAUAUGCAAAAUUUGACAAGGAAUGAAUGAACCUGGCCUCAACUUGGAAUUCCAAGUGUGCCACUGGAAAGGUGAGAUGAAAUCGCUUGAAAACGAUAUAAAGAACGCUGGAAUCAGAGUCACGGUCUGAAAAUGGCAAGCAAUUUAAAUAUGGCACCGGUCUGCGAUAUACAGCAAGUAGACACCUAAAUCCAACAAGAUGAACAUGCUACAGCACCCAAACAUGGCAGGGAUCCAUUCAUGAUGCUUAACAAAAGAUGAACACUGAGCUACGGCCAAUUCAUCCAUUAACAGGUUCAAACAAGCAUGGCAAAAAUGCAUUUGGUAAACAGAUUUCAGACAUAGUGAAAUUAACACUUGUCUGGAUUUUCAGAUCAGGUAGCACACUUUGGAGCAUGAAAACUAUAUGCUACAGGACCUGAACAUGGCAAAAUAAAGCAUGGCAUGGAGCUACUCAACGAACUUAACAAAAGUCCCUUAGUGACCUUGAGCCAAAAGGGAUCCUAAACUACAUUUGCAAGCAUGUGAACAUGGCAAAAACAUAAUCAGAUCACAGACUUAGUGAAAAACUAGAGCAUGCAAAUCAGAUAUCAAGUAGGCAUGUUUAUGAGCUCGAUGCACUCACUACAGAGCAAGUCAUGACAAUCUAAGCAUACACCCAUCAAGAAUACACAUUAUACAAGCUAGACAUGGCAAUAACAAUAACAUAGCAUGCACAGAUCAACUACAACAUUCUCGGCAAAAUCGCUAACAAGUAGACAAUCUGCCCAGAUUCACGAAAUAGCAAAAGUAGAGCUUGAUUGACUUAAGCUAGGAUGCUCCAUAAUUGCAAACAAAGACAUGGAUGGAUAGAGCACUACAAGAUUAACAAAUCACCCUUACUGAUCAUCCUCAAAAGAGGCACGGAUCACUAGGAAACAACAUGAACAUGUGGCAUAAUGAAAUAAACAGAUCAAGGACUUAGUGGGAUUGCUAAGUCCCUGAAAUCAGCAUUAACGAAUGCACCACUUUGCAAGCUUGUGCUAGUCACCACAAACAUCACAAAAAUACAUGGGUUGCACCUCUGGAUAGAUGGCAAAGCAUAUAACAAAACACAUGUAGAGCUCAGGGGCAUAUCAUGCACACGAUAAUCAUGGCAAAAAUGACAAAUAUCUAAUUGGAACAGCAGAUCUGACAAUUAUCUCAAAUAGCAUUCUUCCAACAGCAUUUCGGGCAUCAAGAUGAACUCAAAUGAAAAUAAUGCAAUGAGAUGAAAUGAUGUGCUCUCUGAGACAAACAUUUUGAUAUGCUAUAUGCCCAAAACGGAGCUACGGAUGCGGAGUUACGGCAAGACGAACAUAGCAAAAUAAUUAGGGUUUCGGGGCAAAAAGGCAAUCGAGAAAACUCAGGUCUGAGAUUUGCACGCUUCCCGAGGUUCGUCCUCAAGCUCGCCGGAGAUGGAGCUUGAGCUCGUCAAAGAGAGGUCGGCGGGGGAGGAGGAAGCGCGGGGCGGCGCCGGAGUUGGAGUAGAACGGCGGCGGGGCGCGGCUCCGCGGCGAGCCGGCGUGGAGGCGCGGCGCGGAGGGCCACCGGCGGGCGGCGAGGNNNNNNNNNNNNNNNNNNNNNNNNNNNNNNNNNNNNNNNNNNNNNNNNNNNNNNNNNNNNNNNNNNNNNNNNNNNNNNNNNNNNNNNNNNNNNNNNNNNNNNNNNNNNNNNNNNNNNNNNNNNNNNNNNNNNNNNNNNNNNNNNNNNNNNNNNNNNNNNNNNNNNNNNNNNNNNNNNNNNNNNNNNNNNNNNNNNNNNNNNNNNNNNNNNNNNNNNNNNNNNNNNNNNNNNNNNNNNNNNNNNNNNNNNNNNNNNNNNNNNNNNNNNNNNNNNNNNNNNNNNNNNNNNNNNNNNNNNNNNNNNNNNNNNNNNNNNNNNNNNNNNNNNNNNNNNNNNNNNNNNNNNNNNNNNNNNNNNNNNNNNNCCUGCCGGCUCGGGCGGCGCGGAGGGAACGGGCUCGGGGGCCCAUGGCGGGCCGAGCGGGCCGGCGGCGGGGGACCUCCCGGUGCGACACGUGGCGCGCUGUCACUGGCCGGGCGCGGCGGCGGGAAACGUCUGUCCAGGGACGGACAUGUCCGGCGCGGCGCGAUGCGAUUUUUAGGGUUUCGGGGGGAAGAAGAAACGUGGAUCUCGGAGGGGUCUUUAAAUAGGCAUAGAGGGAGCUAGGGGAGUCCAAAUGAGGUGCGGUUUUCGGCCACGUGAUCGGGAUCGAACGCUCUAGAUGAUGGAGAGGGUUUUGGGCCAAAUUGGAGGGGUGUUGGGCUGCAACACACACGAGGCCUUUUCGGUCCCUCGGUUUACCGUUGGAGCAUCAAACGAAGUCCAAAUGGUACGAAACUUGAUAGGCGGUCUAUGGUAGUAAACCAAGGCCGCUUGGCAAUUCUCGGUCCAAUCCGGAAAUGUUUAAUCCUCACACACGAAAGAAAGAUAGAAAUGACCACCGGAGGAGAAAGGAGCGCCAGAAUGCAAAACGGACAACGGGGAAAAUGCUCGGAUGCAUGAGAUGAACACGUAUGCAAAUGCAAUGCACAUGAUGACAUGCUAUGAGAUGCAUGACAACGAUAACACAAACGGAGACAAAACCCGAACCCGAGAAAAUAAAAUAACUUAACGCUGGAAACGGCAAGAGUUGGAUUACAUAUUGGGUAAAUCAUAUCCGGGGUGUUACACCUUUGCCUUGUUUGUCUACCCCUUCCUCCUCCCCAGCAAGCGUGAAACCUCUCAUAAUAGGUCUGUCAAUCUGCAUCCUUAUCUUCACCCUCAAAAAUCUACCGGUUGCAACUCCAUCCGCACCCGUGUCCGCCUCCACAAACACUCCAAUGAUAUUACCGAUGUCCUCUGCUGAUUCCACGUUCAUCAUGCCAAGAGGAAGGUUAUAAACCCUAACCCAAAUUGGGAUAUUGUUAUGGGCAUAAUCUUCUGGCCUCUUGCUCGGUACAUAGUCCUCCACCACCACAACUUCUUUAUCAAACAUCCAUGGUCCAUCUUCGAUCGCCUUCCGCUUACCAGACUCUUGAUGAAAAGUGAUGAGGAACUGAUUUACUCCGAUCUCCUUACACUUGAUCCCCUUAAUCGGGCACCAAACCCUGCCUAGUGAGAGGCAGAUCGCGUCUGGGUGCGCUAACUUUUCGGAGAUGACCUUGCCUACUGCCUGCAGCAUCGACGCCUUGCCAUUCUCCCUGGAUACCAGCCGCACCUUGACGCCCUUCCUCUCCUCCUCAGAAAGUUUCAGACCCUUCAUUAACCCCGCAACACCAUCUACUGCCAUGGCUGCACUCCCCUGACCGCCCCCAACCCCUCCUAGGAAGUAGGUGUUUUACGACUGCGCGCCCUAGGGAAGCGCACAGAAGGAUUUGGUGGAUGGCUUGAGGAAUUAGAGUGCUCGAAGGUUCCCUGGACGAAGAACCAGACGACGGCGGCGGAAUGAAAGGAACCCUAGGCACCGAAUGGAAUCGCCCUCGGGAUCGCCUCCAUAAACUAUGGAAAGGACACCAACCGUCACCCUAACGGGACGGACUUCUCUCUCCUCUGUUCUGGUUGCGAGGAGAAGGGAACAGGCGCUGCCGCAGGAAGGACAUACUGGCACGGGUCAAAGUGGACGGAAAAAAGCACGAAUCUCGUGACAGAGAUCGGACGCUCGAAAAAACGGAUGAAGUCCAAUUAAUUUCAUUCGGAUGAAAAAUAGCAAUUUCGUUGAUCAAACAGACCUGAAUUUAAGCCGCUCCUAUGUCGCUCGUAGGGCGACACCGGGGUGUCCGAACCCUAGCCGCCCAG